CGGGCUUAUUAAAAUAGAUGGAAUGUGUGUGGAAGGAGUUGGGCAUGUGUGUGAAACUCGUAAGCUCCCUGGAGGACUGGGUUAUGCCCCACUGCGUCAGCCAUUCGGCCACUCACCUAUUCAAACCACAGCAGUCCACUCAGCGGUGGACAGUCUCAUUUAUUUAGGCCUCUUAUGGGUAUUAGGAAGGAAAGCAUAUGUACGACCCAGUGGCGAGGAUCAGCUCUCCAGACUGUACAUGAUGAAGCCAGAGACCAUAACUCAGCGUGCUAGAGACAAAGUUACCUGCCAGAAGAAUGAGGUCACUCCAAGGUGAGAAGGUGAUCAGAAACAGACAAGCGCAGGAGACGACACUUGUGGAUCAUGCUCAACAGAGCCCACAUGCUCCAAGUCAAGGUAGCAAGACAGGCUGCCUCCCAACCCACCAGAUGCUCAGCACAGGACAUCUAACUGUCCCGUGUGCUCAAACAGCAACUGCAAAUACUAAAGCAGUGAAGCCACUUUUUACUUACAC
rnacentral:lncRNA from 1 species